GGAAAGGUGGCUGAGUGGCCGAAAGCACCUCACUGCUAACGAGGCAUCCCGCAAGGGAUCCCGGGUUCGAAUCCCGGCCUUUCCG
rnacentral:tRNA from 1 species